AAGUUGGAAUAACCUUUCUCUGCUACCCAAGUCCAGAAAGGAAUAAACCAAGACCACCAGCUAAGAUAUUAUGUAAUUGCUAUGGACAGAAGCAUUGAAUGCCUUCAGGAAAUGUGGAUAUGACAACAGUUAAGGUGAACUGGGAAUGUUGAGCAUGAGGACAAUGAUGAUAUUAACCCUGAAAUCGUUUGAUUGGAGGGACUCUGAGAUGUAUGAAACUUGCAUGGAGCUGAAGUUUGCACUGAACAAGACUUGUAGAAGAUCCUCAAGUUUUCCCAGCAUCUGAGUGUAUUUAGAGCUGAGGCCUGGCUGUCUUUUAUAACACGUGGUAUAGAGCAUGAAUUACUGUAACAACAUUUCCACUGACAGUGAAGUGCUUCCUCAGUAGUUGUGAGCUUAUUGUGUCGGUUCUGUUGCUAGGAAAGCCAACUGAUUAGAAGGCUGCCGUAGCAGCCAGUUGAUGUAAUACAUGCCUGAGAAAACCCUUAUCAGAGCCCUGCACACUUUCAGGAAUGCUCACAAUUCAUCUGUGUUUCUGAAUGUGAAAAGAGACCCAUUCUUUUUUCAUUGCACUGACCUGCUGGAAGCAGCCUCUAAGGAGCUAAGUUUUAAAGCUUGAAAUCAGGACUGCUGCCUCCUGCUCUUCAUGCCCCUCCCACAGUGACAGUUUCAGCAAAGAAAAUGCUGGGUCAGAGAGUGGGUUUUUUCCUCUGUAUCUGUUCUGGCUGUGUGAUGAAGUCAAAGUGCUCUGAGCUGUUUUGUUUUCCAUGUGCAGAUGUACUGCUUUGAAUGUCUGUCAGGUGCUAUCUGCAGUGAACCAUGGCAUUCAGAUUGAGGGCAACAAUAGAGGAAAACUGGCCAUCAGAAGUGAAGCAGGGAAAAGUCUUGGCCAUAAUGUUCAACUGCAAUUGUCCCUUCCCAAAGGGCGUGACCGAUUAAAGACUUGAGUUAGGGGAC